rnacentral:rRNA from 1 species
UACGUAGGGUGCAAGCGUUGUCCGGAAUUAUUGGGCGUAAAGAGCUCGUAGGCGGUCUGUCGCGUCUGCUGUGAAAACGCGAGGCUCAACCUCGCGCCUGCAGUGGGUACGGGCAGACUAGAGUGCGGUAGGGGAGAUUGGAAUUCCUGGUGUAGCGGUGGAAUGCGCAGAUAUCAGGAGGAACACCGAUGGCGAAGGCAGAUCUCUGGGACGGUACUGACGCUGAGACGCGAAAGCGUGGGGAGCGAACAGG